rnacentral:rRNA from 1 species
ACAUCUCUAUGGGCCUCAAAUAAUGUGUGACUACCC